rnacentral:rRNA from 1 species
GAGUUUGAUCAUGGCUCAGAUUGAACGCUGGCGGCAUGCCUUACACAUGCAAGUCGAACGGUAACAGGUCUUCGGAUGCUGACGAGUGGCGAACGGGUGAGUAAUACAUCAGAACGUGCCCAGACGUGGGGGAUAACGAGGCGAAAGCUUUGCUAAUACCGCAUACGAUCUAAGGAUGAAAGCAGGGGACCGCAAGGCCUUGCGCGUUUGGAGCGGCCGAUGGCAGAUUAGGUAGUUGGUGGGAUAAAAGCUUACCAAGCCGACGAUCUGUAGCUGGUCUGAGAGGACGACCAGCCACACUGGGACUGAGACACGGCCCAGACUCCUACGGGAGGCAGCAGUGGGAAUUUUGGACAAUGGGCGAAAGCCUGAUCCAGCAAUGCCGCGUGCAGGAUGAAGGCC